GAUGAACGCUGGCGGCGUGCCUAAUACAUGCAGGUCGAGCGAACAGAUAAGGAGCUUGCUCCUUUGACGUUAGCGGCGGACGGGUGAGUAACACGUGGGUAACCUAUCUAUAAGACUGGAAUAACUCCGGGAAACCGGGGCUAAUGCCGGAUAACAUGUUGAACCGCAUGGUUCUACAGUGAAAGGCGGCUUUGCUGUCACUUAUAGAUGGACCCGCGCCGUAUUAGCUAGUUGGUGAGGUAACGGCUCACCAAGGCAACGAUACGUAGCCGACCUGAGAGGGUGAUCGGCCACACUGGAACUGAGACACGGUCCAGACUCCUACGGGAGGCAGCAGUAGGGAAUCUUCCGCAAUGGGCGAAAGCCUGACGGAGCAACGCCGCGUGAGUGAUGAAGGUCUUCGGAUCGUAAAACUCUGUUAUUAGGGAAGAACAAAUGCGUAAGUAACUGUGCGCGUCUUGACGGUACCUAAUCAGAAAGCCACGGCUAACUACGUG
rnacentral:rRNA from 1 species